CCUACGGGAGGCUGCAGUGGGGAAUAUUGCACAAUGGGCGAAAGCCUGAUGCAGCAACGCCGCGUGAACGAUGAAGGCCUUCGGGUCGUAAAGCUCUGUCCUCAAGGAAGAUAAUGCCGGUACGUGAGGAUGAAGUCCCGGCUAACUACGUGCCAGCAGCCGCGGUAAUACGUAGGUGGCUGGCGUUAUCCGGAAUUACUGGGCGUAAAGUGUGCGUAGGUGGUUUCUUAAGUCAGAGGUGAAAGGCUACGGCUCAACCGUAGUAAGCCGUUGAAACUGGGUAACUUGAGUGCAGGAGAGGAGAGUGGAAUGCCUAGUGUAGUGGUGAAAUGCGUAGAUAUUAGGAAGAACACCAGUUGCGAAGGCAGCUUACUGGACUGUAACUGACACUGAGGCACGAAAGCGUGGGGAGCAAACAGGAUUAGAUACCCGUGUAGUC
rnacentral:rRNA from 1 species